AGUCCUGUAGUGUGAUGCACGUCGAAUUGCAAAUUCGAAAACGCCCCCAAAAGGUGCCCGGACUU
rnacentral:tRNA from 1 species